CGUCUGCUGGGUAUUCCGUGCAGAUCCAGAACAAAAAAUUUCGUCAUGUCAUUUAUAGUUCAAACAUGUGGGCAAAUAAUUCUUCAUGAAUAAGCAGUAAACUGCUGAAAUGAGAAUUAAUGUGGCUUUGCAACAAGGAUUCUGUCACAACUUACAGUGCAUAAAACAUGACAUAGCGCAAACUCCGCUUUGUUUUGCCAAUGAAGUAAAUUUUAACAAGGAAACGAAAGAAAUGUGGCUGUUAGUCAAAAUUCUCCCCUUCUGAGUGAGUGGUUUUCAAGAGGCAGCAAGUUUUAGUUGCUAUAAAUAUAAUGAAGGAGCUGGACCAAUGACCGUAUUGAAAGACAUGCAAUUGUACCAACUUUGUGAAAAUUGACACAUGAACAUUACAUAUACAAGAAUGCAACAACUGGGCAUACAAAGAGAUGGUUGAAAAAUUUCUAGACAGUAUUCGAACUGUGGACCACAGUGUUCUCACAAAAACUAAGGUACAAAAUUUGAUACGAAGUUUCUGAAAAAAAUUCUUCGUUUGUGUGACCAUAUUGUCCAUAGCAGCUUUAUACUAAAUGAAAGUAUUUUAAAUCCGUCUUUGCAGUUACAUUACAAGAAACAAUAGUGCCAACCAAGGAAAUAAAAACUUGCAAGCAGUCAGUGUUCCCUGAUGUGAGAAAAAAUCUUUUGUAAUGAACU